rnacentral:rRNA from 1 species
UACAGAGGCCUCGAGCGUUAAUCGGAGUCACUGGGCUUAAAGGGUGCGUAGGCGGGUCCGCAAGUGCCUUGUGAAAUCCCACGGCUCAACCGUGGAAUGGCUCGGCAGACUGCGGGUCUUGAGGUCGGUAGGGGUCGCUGGAACUCUAGGUGGAGCGGUGAAAUGCGUAGAUAUCGAGAGGAACACCAGUGGCGAAGGCGAGUCUCUGGACGACUCCUGACACUGAGGCACGAAAGCCAGGGAGCAAACAGG